rnacentral:rRNA from 1 species
AUGAGUACACUGUUGAUCCGGUACAUGGUUGAGAUUUUUGAUCCUAGCAAGGGCAGAUUCAUUGUACAAGACUUGGUUGGCGAAGUGUCUCUCGGUGCCGUGGAUGUUGAAUGCAUCUUGUCCUUGGAGAACCACGGACUGUCGGCAGAAGGUAUUCUCAGUGAGGAAGGUGAGGAUGUUAAAGAUCGAGUGCCGCCUCAAUUACUGAGCAAGACCAUAGGUAAUAUAGUCAUCGAUGAUCUGAUUGUGGACAUCACAAAAAUAAAUCUACCGACGACGAUUUCCUUCGGAAAGUUGUCCUCGUGGUUCUUGGAACAGUUCUUGCUCCCAUGUCGAGCAAGACUGUCCCAAAGCAAUAUUACGCAUUGGUGGACGAUGUGA